rnacentral:lncRNA from 1 species
CUUUCCAAAAUCCGGGAGGCUGAAGGAAUUAGUAGCUACAUAUUGCCACAACUUAGUCGAAAUUGAAGGCCUUGAUAGGUCGGAGUAUUUGGAAAGUUUAGAUAUCCAAAGCUGCACUUCAAUGGAAAGGCUAGACCUUCCAAAAUCCGGGAGGCUGAAGAAAUUACAAGCUAUAGAUUGCUAUGACUUAGCCGAAAUUGAAGGUCUUGAUAGGUCGGAGUAUUUGGAAAGUUUAGAUAUCCGAUACUGCACUUCAAUGGAAAGGCUAGACCUUCCAAAAUCCGGGAGGCUGAAGAAAUUACAAGCUACAAGAUGCGUAAAAUUAGCCGAAAUUGAAGGCCUUGAUAGGUUAAAGUUGCAGGAACUGAAUAUCAUCGAAUGCUCGUCACUCAAAACAAUUCCAGAAUCAU